GGGUUGUGAGGUUAAGCGACUAAGCGUACACGGUGGAUGCCCUGGCAGUCAGAGGCGAUGAAGGACGUGCUAAUCUGCGAUAAGCGUCGGUAAGGUGAUAUGAACCGUUAUAACCGGCGAUUUCCGAAUGGGGAAACCCAGUGUGUUUCGACACACUAUCAUUAACUGAAUCCAUAGGUUAAUGAGGCGAACCGGGGGAACUGAAACAUCUAAGUACCCCGAGGAAAAGAAAUCAACCGAGAUUCCCCCAGUAGCGGCGAGCGAACGGGGAGCAGCCCAGAGCCUGAAUCAGUGUGUGUGUUAGUGGAAGCGUCUGGAAAGGCGCGCGAUACAGGGUGACAGCCCCGUACACAAAAAUGCACAUGCUGUGAGCUCGAUGAGUAGGGCGGGACACGUGGUAUCCUGUCUGAAUAUGGGGGGACCAUCCUCCAAGGCUAAAUACUCCUGACUGACCGAUAGUGAACCAGUACCGUGAGGGAAAGGCGAAAAGAACCCCGGCGAGGGGAGUGAAAAAGAACCUGAAACCGUGUACGUACAAGCAGUGGGAGCACGCUUAGGCGUGUGACUGCGUACCUUUUGUAUAAUGGGUCAGCGACUUAUAUUCUGUAGCAAGGUUAACCGAAUAGGGGAGCCGAAGGGAAACCGAGUCUUAACUGGGCGUUAAGUUGCAGGGUAUAGACCCGAAACCCGGUGAUCUAGCCAUGGGCAGGUUGAAGGUUGGGUAACACUAACUGGAGGACCGAACCGACUAAUGUUGAAAAAUUAGCGGAUGACUUGUGGCUGGGGGUGAAAGGCCAAUCAAACCGGGAGAUAGCUGGUUCUCCCCGAAAGCUAUUUAGGUAGCGCCUCGUGAAUUCAUCUCCGGGGGUAGAGCACUGUUUCGGCAAGGGGGUCAUCCCGACUUACCAACCCGAUGCAAACUGCGAAUACCGGAGAAUGUUAUCACGGGAGACACACGGCGGGUGCUAACGUCCGUCGUGAAGAGGGAAACAACCCAGACCGCCAGCUAAGGUCCCAAAGUCAUGGUUAAGUGGGAAACGAUGUGGGAAGGCCCAGACAGCCAGGAUGUUGGCUUAGAAGCAGCCAUCAUUUAAAGAAAGCGUAAUAGCUCACUGGUCGAGUCGGCCUGCGCGGAAGAUGUAACGGGGCUAAACCAUGCACCGAAGCUGCGGCAGCGACGCUUAUGCGUUGUUGGGUAGGGGAGCGUUCUGUAAGCCUGCGAAGGUGUACUGUGAGGUAUGCUGGAGGUAUCAGAAGUGCGAAUGCUGACAUAAGUAACGAUAAAGCGGGUGAAAAGCCCGCUCGCCGGAAGACCAAGGGUUCCUGUCCAACGUUAAUCGGGGCAGGGUGAGUCGACCCCUAAGGCGAGGCCGAAAGGCGUAGUCGAUGGGAAACAGGUUAAUAUUCCUGUACUUGGUGUUACUGCGAAGGGGGGACGGAGAAGGCUAUGUUGGCCGGGCGACGGUUGUCCCGGUUUAAGCGUGUAGGCUGGUUUUCCAGGCAAAUCCGGAAAAUCAAGGCUGAGGCGUGAUGACGAGGCACUACGGUGCUGAAGCAACAAAUGCCCUGCUUCCAGGAAAAGCCUCUAAGCAUCAGGUAACAUCAAAUCGUACCCCAAACCGACACAGGUGGUCAGGUAGAGAAUACCAAGGCGCUUGAGAGAACUCGGGUGAAGGAACUAGGCAAAAUGGUGCCGUAACUUCGGGAGAAGGCACGCUGAUAUGUAGGUGAAGUCCCUCGCGGAUGGAGCUGAAAUCAGUCGAAGAUACCAGCUGGCUGCAACUGUUUAUUAAAAACACAGCACUGUGCAAACACGAAAGUGGACGUAUACGGUGUGACGCCUGCCCGGUGCCGGAAGGUUAAUUGAUGGGGUUAGCGCAAGCGAAGCUCUUGAUCGAAGCCCCGGUAAACGGCGGCCGUAACUAUAACGGUCCUAAGGUAGCGAAAUUCCUUGUCGGGUAAGUUCCGACCUGCACGAAUGGCGUAAUGAUGGCCAGGCUGUCUCCACCCGAGACUCAGUGAAAUUGAACUCGCUGUGAAGAUGCAGUGUACCCGCGGCAAGACGGAAAGACCCCGUGAACCUUUACUAUAGCUUGACACUGAACAUUGAGCCUUGAUGUGUAGGAUAGGUGGGAGGCUUAGAAGUGUGGACGCCAGUCUGCAUGGAGCCGACCUUGAAAUACCACCCUUUAAUGUUUGAUGUUCUAACGUUGACCCGUAAUCCGGGUUGCGGACAGUGUCUGGUGGGUAGUUUGACUGGGGCGGUCUCCUCCUAAAGAGUAACGGAGGAGCACGAAGGUUGGCUAAUCCUGGUCGGACAUCAGGAGGUUAGUGCAAUGGCAUAAGCCAGCUUGACUGCGAGCGUGACGGCGCGAGCAGGUGCGAAAGCAGGUCAUAGUGAUCCGGUGGUUCUGAAUGGAAGGGCCAUCGCUCAACGGAUAAAAGGUACUCCGGGGAUAACAGGCUGAUACCGCCCAAGAGUUCAUAUCGACGGCGGUGUUUGGCACCUCGAUGUCGGCUCAUCACAUCCUGGGGCUGAAGUAGGUCCCAAGGGUAUGGCUGUUCGCCAUUUAAAGUGGUACGCGAGCUGGGUUUAGAACGUCGUGAGACAGUUCGGUCCCUAUCUGCCGUGGGCGCUGGAGAACUGAGGGGGGCUGCUCCUAGUACGAGAGGACCGGAGUGGACGCAUCACUGGUGUUCGGGUUGUCAUGCCAAUGGCACUGCCCGGUAGCUAAAUGCGGAAGAGAUAAGUGCUGAAAGCAUCUAAGCACGAAACUUGCCCCGAGAUGAGUUCUCCCUGACUCCUUGAGAGUCCUGAAGGAACGUUGAAGACGACGACGUUGAUAGGCCGGGUGUGUAAGCGCAGCGAUGCGUUGAGCUAACCGGUACUAAUGAACCGUGAGGCUUAACCUUACAACGCCGAAGGUGUUU
rnacentral:rRNA from 1 species